AUAGUCGACAUAAGAGCAUGAGACAGCAUCGUCGCAGCGCCGUGCAGUGGCCGACGAUUCUCGAACGUUCGAUGCCCGGGCCGCGUCGACUAUAUAAACGCAGCCGGUUGCCUCGAUACGGUGCAUUCGUAGAGAGACCUUCGUUGAGUUCAGACGCAGUCGACAUCCGAAGACCCCCCCCCCCCCAUAGAGGGACGAGUCGGAACCUUCACCGGCUUCUCAACCCUUCGCUUUUCUUUUUUUCGUGGUCGUCCAAGGCUACGGGACAAUAUCAGUCGUGAAAAUGUAGACGAGUCGGGCAUCGCUGCGGAGCGCGACAGUAUACCUGAACCCUACGGGGUCGGUGCUUGAACAAUCCGUACGCAACGAAAUCUGGUCCGAUUAGGCUUUGAAAUUCCGUCACAUUAUGAACAAGUUCGAGAAGAAUACCUCUGAAUAUAGCUCAGUGUCGUAAAAUUAGAUCGUGUGGGCACCCAUCUGUAAGAGCACGCAAUAGCCUAGCGGAAAGAAAAGAGAAGCCCACGGCAUUGGAAGGUUGGAAUUAAAAGUUGGAAAGAAAAGAGA